GGUUACUAAGAUGUGGCAAGAGUUGCAGAUUGAGAUGGAUCAACUAUUUGAGAGCUGAUCUCAAAAGAGGAAACAUCUCUAUUGAAGAGGAAGCCAUCGUCACUAAGUUGCUUGCUUUUUUUGGCAACAGCGAGAGAUCAAUGACAACAAAGAAG